rnacentral:sRNA from 1 species
GCCAAACCUUCGGACUGCCAUUUCCACAAACAAAGCCACCCUGCAUUCUUCAGACAACGGUCCUUCGCAAUCUGAUGACCAUGAUGUAGAGCCGUUUACAGCUUAAAAAGCCGAAAGCAAGAGCAAAUAGCCUUUUGCGCGGCCCACUGAACAUGCUUCUUGGCAGCUGUUGGAGAUGUAGGCAGGGAUUGCGGUCGAGCUAGCGUAAGGAGGCAAGGUCGCAUUGGUCUCUUGUCGAGGAAGUGGAUUUCUUGUCUGAGCGGCAUCAGACCUGACGUUGUUUAUUUGUGAAUCCCGCUACUUUCACCCUCGCUCACACCGAGAUAGUGGGACGACGAAUAGGGAUAAAGAUUAGAGUAUGGCGAAAUUUCUAGCAGUCGGACCAAUAACUGAGAUCGUGGAAGCGUUGUUGAUGAUUGAGUGUUGCAAUAAGUAUCUUGUUUUUCUUCAUUCAGUUUUGAGCUCUCCAGCAGCAAUCAUCGUCCUGGGCUGGCCCCGUACCCGAUCAGGAACCUCCACUAUACGCAAACUUUCGAGUGCCAGCUGGCAGGGUGACAAGAGUUGCACUGUCAUGACGUCAGAUGUACGAUCCAUUUGAGGUGUGCCUAC